AAGUCCAAGCUGUGUCUGACACGGCGAGACCGCGGACGGCUCAUUAAAUCAGUCGUGGUCCAAAUGGGCCAGUGCUUAUCCUACUCGGAUAACCGUGGUAAUUCCAGGGCUAAUACGUGCAACUCAUGCCCUGAUGGGACGUCGCGCUUGUCGUGGCGGCUCCUGACGGGUGCUUUUAUUAGACCAAACCACUGGGGGCGUGUUCUGUCGUAGACAUCACGCUUGACUCGUGUUAUGGUGACUCUGGAUAACCUGUGUUGACAAGCGCACGUACCCCUCUUUGGAGUUGGGACGGCGCUGCCACUUUCGAGUGUCUGCCUUAUCAGCUAUCAACCGUUCGUUAUGUGCGACCGAUGGCUUUGACGGGUAACGGGGAAUCAGGGUUCGAUUCCGGAGA
rnacentral:rRNA from 1 species